GAGGGUUUGAUGCUACUGAGCCUCUGUUUUCUUAUCUGCAGAAUGGGUAUGCACUCAGACUCAGGCCCUUAUGGCGAUAAGGGUUCACGCAUGUAAUACCCUCCACAUGGCAUCUGGACCCUGGAGGUGGGGGCAGGUCACCUCAGCAAUGGUCCUCAGGCACGAUUGUUGUAGCAGUAGGAGGUGAAGCCACCCAGGUAAGUGGGCACAAGGUCAAAGAGGGUUUGGGUCUCAGGGUAAAUGCCUUUGGUUGAACUAGUGGUGUAUUGAGCUUCCCACACUGACAUUUUCUGAGCAGAGGAAUUAUUGGUUAGCGCAGGGAUUUAGGUCAUUAAUUUGGAGCAGGUAGAAGUGCCUGGAAAUGGAAGGACUAAGGCUGAGGCUUCUAUGGUCCAAGUGAGUGAUCACAGGGGCUGGGAGUAGGAAGCACGGCUGAAGGGCCAUCUCAAAGGCACUGUACCAAUGGGAUGGUGACAUCACUACUGACGGCACCCACAGAGCUGGGGUAUAUGUAUGCUUAUGUGUAACUUCCCAUUUUACAGAAAAGGAAGCUGGGGCUCAGGGAGGUUAGGUGACUGCUCCAAGGUCACACACUUAGUACUGGACCCAGUGUUGGAACCCACCAAAUCUGACCCAUCUUGUGCUUGUCACUAACUGAAGGAUGUGGCAGGCAAUGGAGGCAAGGUCAAAGGCAAAGUCAAGCCCCAAAUGGUCAAAGACAAGGAUUAGACUUGGAGCUGGUGUCCAGCCUGAGGGUGGAGGGGUGAGGGACAUUUACCGUAGCAGGGGAAGGCUGGGUCGAGUCAACGUUCUUGCAACAUCCGUAAUUGCAGCGUUAGCUGGGCAAGUUAGAUGGGUGGGGAAGUCCUACUUAACCACAUAGACAUUUCUUAAACAUUUUAUUUUUACUUCAAAUAUGUGAAGUACAGCACAUCUAUUUGUCUGCCUUUUGGUAUGGAGCCAAAACCUUUUCUCUGAGCAUGAGCCCACUGAUUGGAGCUCUGGGUCAUCUCUGUGGCAGAAACCACAGAGCAGUGAAUCAGCACUGAUUUCUGGUUUCAGUGUUUCUAAAGGGACAUGAGAACUGGAAGGCGCUUGCAAGGCAAUCUCGAGGCAGAGUCCUUCAUUAUUUGUGUGAUUAUUUUCCCCAAAUCAUUACCCUCAUCUGUGCUGGGACUUUCCAAAGCUUCCAGCCUAGCAUUCAGGGAGCAGCUCCCUUUCUGCAUUAAUAUUUCAUCAGCUUCCCUCAGUGGCUCUCCGAGAGUGGCCCAGGGACCACUUGCGACCCUUUCAGGGAAUCCAAAGUCCAAAUUCUUUUCACGGUCAAACUGAGAUGUUGUUUGCCCUUGAUGCUCUCAUUUUCUCCAGAAGGUACAAAUAAAGAUUUUCAGAGCCCCCAGCCCCCAGC
rnacentral:lncRNA from 10 species